GACAGAGGUGCCGAGCGUUAGGCGGAAUCACUGGGCUUAAAGCGUGUGUAGGCGGUCCCGUCAGUGUCUUGUGAAAUCCCACGGCUCAACCGUGGAACGGCUGGGCAUACUGCGGGUCUUGAGACACCUAGGGGCGAGCGGAACAGGCGGUGGAGCGGUGAAAUGCGUAGAUAUCACCUGGAACGCCGACGGUGAAAACAGCUCGCUGGGGGUGUUCUGACGCUGAGACACGAAAGCCAGGGGAGCGAACGGG
rnacentral:rRNA from 1 species